rnacentral:tRNA from 1 species
GCCUGAGUGGCUCAGUCAGUUAAGCGUCUGACUUUGGCUCAGGUCAUGAUCUCGCAGUUUGUGGGUUCGAGCCCCGCAUCGGGCU